rnacentral:tRNA from 5 species
CGCGGCGUAGCGCAGCGAAAGCGCGCCGGGUUCAUAUCCUGGAGGUCGCGGGCGCGAACCCUGCCGCCGCAACCA